rnacentral:tRNA from 1 species
GAGGGUAUAGCUUAGUGGUAGAGUGUGUGCUUGGCAUGCAUGGGGUCCUGGGUUCAAGCUCCAGGACCUCCA